UAGAGUUUGAUCCUGGCUCAGAACGAACGCUGGCGGCGUGGAUAAGACAUGCAAGUCGGACGGGACUUUUUCUUGUAGCAAUACGAGGGAAAGUUCAGUGGCGAUCGGGUGCGUAACACGUGGGCAAUCUGCCUUAAAGUGUGGAAUAGCUCGGCGAAAGCCGAAUUAAUACCGCAUGUGGCUACUGGAGACAUCUUCGGGACGCUAAAGGUGGCGCAAGCUACCGCUUUUUGAGGAGCCCGCGGCCUAUCAGCUUGUUGGUGAGGUAACGGCUCACCAAGGCGUUGACGGGUAGCUGGUCUGAGAGGACGACCAGCCACACUGGGACUGAGACACGGCCCAGACACCUACGGGUGGCAGCAGUCGAGAAUUUUUGACAAUGGGGGAAACCCUGAUCGAGCGACGCCGCGUGGAGGAUGAAAGUCUUCGG
rnacentral:rRNA from 1 species